rnacentral:snRNA from 1 species
GUGCUCGCUUUGGCAGCACAUAUACUAAAACUGGAACAAUACAGAGAAGAUUAGCAUGGCCCCUGUGCAAGGGUGACACGCAGAUUUGUGAAGCAUUCCAUAUGUGA